rnacentral:snRNA from 1 species
AUACUUACCUGGCAGGGGAGAUACCAUCAUCACGAAGGUGGUUUUCCCAGGGCGAGGCUUAUCCAUUGCACUCCGGAUGUGCUGACCCCUGCGAUUUCCCCAAAUGUGGGAAACUCGACUGCAUAAUUUGUGGUAGUGGGGGACUGCGUUCGCGCUUUCCCCUG